AUUUUAACAGCCGCGGUACUUUGACCGUGCUAAGGUAGCAUAAUAAAUUGACCUUUAAUUGGGGCCUAGAAUGAAUGAAUAAAAUGGGGGAAAACUGUCUUAGCUAUACUGAUUAAAAAUUUCUUUGAAGGUGAAAAUUCCUUUAAAACUUUAAUAGACGAGAAGACCCUAGGAGUUUAAAAAUAUUGUUUAAAUAAAAAUAAAUUUUUUUUUGUUGGGGCGACAAUUUAACAGAAAACUUAAAUAAAAAAAUUGACAUAACGAAAUUUUUAAUUAAGAAUAAACUACCCUAGGGAUAACAGCAUAAUUUUUUAAAAGUUUGUGACCUCGAUGUUGGAUUAGGAAUUUUAAAUACUAGCAGUAUUUAAUAAUUGUUCUGUUCGAACUUUGUCUCCUACA
rnacentral:rRNA from 1 species